GGGCAGGUUAGUUUUACCCUA
rnacentral:misc_RNA from 1 species